ACUUGCAAGACUUAAAGAAACCUUUGCUACUGAAAAAUGACGAGGUAGUUAACUACAUAUUGGUCCAUAAGGAGUUAUUGGUUCCACCUAUAGUCCAUUGAAAGAUCAACAAUAAAGAAGGCACUAUUUUGUCUUUUAAGGACCAGGCUUCCAGAAGUUGUCAGCAUGUGACAGUGGCCACAUCCCAUGAACAGCUUUGCCUGGCCUUCUGAACCAGAUCCUUUCAAUCGAACGCUGUAGAAUUUUUAUUGGAAUAAUGGCUCACUUAACACGAGGUA